CAGGAUGAACGCUAGCUACAGGCUUAACACAUGCAAGUCGAGGGGCAGCAUGAGAUUAGCUUGCUAAUCUUGAUGGCGACCGGCGCACGGGUGAGUAACGCGUAUCCAACCUUCCCCUUAGUAGGGCAUAGCCCGGCGAAAGUCGGAUUAAUACCCUAUGUCUUCGUAGAGGACAUCUGAAAUGAAGCAAAGAUUUAUCGCUAAGGGAUGGGGAUGCGUCUGAUUAGGUAGUCGGCGGGGUAACGGCCCACCGAGCCUGCGAUCAGUAGGGGUUCUGAGAGGAAGGUCCCCCACAUUGGAACUGAGACACGGUCCAAACUCCUACGGGAGGCAGCAGUGAGGAAUAUUGGUCAAUGGGCGCGAGCCUGAACCAGCCAAGUAGCGUGCCAGGAUGACGGCCCUAUGGGUUGUAAACUGCUUUUAUGCGGGGAUAAAGUGCACCACGUGUGGUGUUUUGUAGGUACCGCAUGAAUAAGGACCGGCUAAUUCCGUGCCAGCAGCGGC
rnacentral:rRNA from 1 species